ACGGACGACGCCAUAGGCGAACUGCUCUUUCGGAUUGAGCAGCGCGAUCCGCCUGUGGCCGC
rnacentral:sRNA from 1 species